UACGUAGGUGGCAAGCGUUGUUCGGAAUUAUUGGGCGUAAAGCGCGUGUAGGCGGCAGUGCAAGUCGGGUGUGAAAGCCCUCGGCUCAACCGAGGAAGUGCGCCCGAAACUGCAUUGCUUGAGUACCGGAGAGGGUGGCGGAAUUCCCCAAGUAGAGGUGAAAUUCGUAGAUAUGGGGAGGAACACCUGUGGCGAAGGCGGCCACCUGGACGGAUACUGACGCUGAGACGCGAAAGCGUGGGUAGCAAACAGG
rnacentral:misc_RNA from 1 species